UACGGGGGGGGCAAGCGUUGUUCGGAUUCAUUGGGCGUAAAGGGUGCGUAGGUGGCGGGGUAAGUCAGGUGUGAAAUCUCGAGGCUCAACCUCGAAACUGCACUUGAUACUGCCUUGCUCGAGUACUGGAGAGGAGAUUGGAAUUUACGGUGUAGCAGUGAAAUGCGUAGAUAUCGUAAGGAAGACCAGUGGCGAAGGCGAAUCUCUGGACAGUUACUGACACUGAGGCACGAAGGCCAGGGGAGCAAACGGG
rnacentral:rRNA from 1 species